CAAGCACGACACAAAUCCGAACAAAUUGCAGAAACUUCCACCGCAACUCCCGAACUUUGGUCCGCCAUGUCCUCUUGCGUCUCCUCCUCCCAUCACCACUGCGCCCGCCGCCUCCCCGCCCCGCCGCCCCGGGCGCACCUCGCCGCAGCCGACUCGUGCGCGUCCCCUUACCGCAGACGCGUCGGUUCCCUGAGGGCAAUGGGAGCCGAGGCGCCCUCGAGCGUGGCGCCGGCGGCGGGUAGGAAGGCUUCGGCGGUGCAGGCGGAGAUGGUGGAGGCGGCGGCCAUGUGGUGCGCCAUGCACGGACUCGUCGUCGGCGACCGCGGCAACCCGAGAUCUGGAACAGUCCCAGGUGUUGGUUUGGUUCAUGCUCCAUUUUCGCUACUUCCAACACGUUUUCCAGCAUCUUUUUGGAAGCAAGCAUGUGAACUGGCUCCUAUUUUCAAUGAGCUUGUGGAUCGUGUGAGCUUGGAUGGGAAGUUCUUGCAAGGUUCUUUGUCUAGAACAAAGCAGGUUGACGAUUUCACUGCCAGGUUGUUAGAAAUUCAUGCAAAGAUGAUGGCAGUAAACAAGAAGGAGGAUAUCCGCUUAGGGUUGCAUCGAUCUGACUACAUGCUUGAUUCUGAAACAAAUUCUCUUCUUCAAAUUGAGCUCAACACCAUCUCAACAUCAUUUCCUGGUCUAGGCUCUCUUGUGAGCGAACUUCACAGGACCUUACUUAAUCAAUAUGGUGAAGUCUUAGGUCUUGAUUCUGAAAGGAUUCCUCGGAACUGGGCAGCCAUUCAAUUUGCUGAAGCAUUGGGCAAAGCAUGGGUUGAGUAUAAUAAUGGAAGCGCUGUAGUUAUGAUGAUUGUUCAAGCUGAAGAAAGAAAUAUGUACGACCAGUACUGGCUCAUCAAUCAUUUGAAAGAAUCGCAUGGUGUGAUGACCAUUAGGAAAACUUUGGCACAGGUGGAGGCCGAAGGACUAGUGCUUCCGGAUGGAACACUUGUGGUAGAUGGACGACCUGUUGCUGUUGUGUAUUUCAGAGCUGGGUAUGCACCGACUGAUUACCCUUCAGAAGUGGAAUGGAGUGCAAGGCUUUUGAUUGAACAAUCAUCUGCUAUUAAGUGCCCUUCAAUAUCCUACCAUUUAGUCGGAACCAAAAAGAUCCAGCAAGAGCUAGCAAAACCUAGUGUUCUUGAAAGGUUCCUUGACAACGAGGAAGACAUUGCCAAGCUACGUAAAUGCUUCGCAGGGUUAUGGAGCUUGGACAAUGAAGAAAUAGUGAAAUCAGCAAUAGAAAAACCUGACUUGUUUGUCCUGAAACCUCAACGAGAAGGUGGAGGGAACAACUUGUAUGGUCAUGAUUUGCGAGAAACACUGAUCAGACUAAAGAACGAACAGGGAGAGGCGCUUGCGGCCUACAUUUUGAUGCAGCGGAUUUUUCCAAGAGCUUCUCUUACUCAGCUUGUCCAGGGCGGUGUCUGCUUUGAGGAACUUUCAAUCUCUGAGCUUGGAAUAUUCGGAUCCUACCUGCGGAACAAAGAUAAGGUAGUCAUUAAUAACCAAUGUGGUUACUUGAUGCGCACCAAAGUUUCUUCAUCAAACGAAGGCGGAGUUGCUGCAGGAUUUGCUGUUCUGGACAGCAUUCUCCUCACAGAUGAGGUGAUUAUUGUGGUGUAGAAGCUAUUUACUAUUGAUCUCAAUUUUUCAAGUGUCCGAAACCUACCGGUUUCCUUCCAGUAAAGUGAGAUAGGAAGGUGGCAGGGUAACAACUUACAAGUCACCGGUGACAGCACACAUCGGAUGAGGAACUGAAGUUACAGACAGUUGGAUGAAUGUUGGAACUCUCAUAUCCGCAUUCCAGUCCCUUCCGUCUGCAGGCAUAGGAUAGAUUAGUCAUGUUCAUGUAUUUAGUAGUACCAAGUGGGAACUAGGUCUGGGGACAAAUCAUCAUAAUUGUUUCACUGAACAACACUGGCGGAGCUAGGAAGAAAGUCUAGGGGGGGCAAAUGGUAAAACUGGCAUACCUGAGGGGGCCAAAUACUAAAUUUAUACUCAUCUAAACCCUCUAAAAAAAUUCCUUCA